GUCCAGCUGAGGCCCUCUUGGACAACACUUCCUCUCCUGCCCAUGAUGAGGAAACUGAGGCCCCACGUGGUGAAGACAAUUUUUACCCGAAUCCACCCACAACAAGAGACCAUUUGGAUAAUGUACAUUAUGGGAAGAGAACAGAGUCUCAGUGAAGAUCAUGUUUCCCCAGCAACACAGGUGCCAGGAGUAGCUGGCUCUGGUCCCAGCCCAGACUCAGAAAUCCUGAGCCACCAGACCAUUUCUAGAUUAACAAAGGCCUGCAUUAAUUUGAUUUCAGUGACCCACUGGAAACCAGUGUCAGCAUAACAACAGUUACGAGAGCUAAACCUACAAAAUAGAAACACAAGUAAAACUUGUUCAAGUGGUUUGCAGUCAUUGAACAUAGAUCAGCUCCUAUGAAAACAAACUCCAUGGGUUUUCUUUGAUGGCAGUUCUGCUCUAAAGAUGGAUAAGGAAGGAGGUUCCAAGAUGGCCGAAUAGGAACAGCUCCAGUCUACAGCUCCCAGCAUGAGCAACGCAGAAGACAGGGGAUUUCUGCAUUUCCAAUUGAGAACACAGGAGCUAUGUGGAGAGUUGAUGGAGGGACAUUCCAGGCAGAGAGAACAGCAAACACAAAGGCCUUGAAGGGCUCAACACCACAUGGAAGCUGCCAAGGCUUGGGGCUCGCACCAUCUGAAGACAUGGUCUGAACUCUACGUUGGCCCUUUCAGCCAUGGCUGGAGCAGCUGGAACGCAGGGCAUCAAGUCUCUUGGCUGCACACAGCUCAGGGAAGCUGGACCUGGCCCAUGAAACCACUUUUUCUUCCUAUGCCUCCAGACCUGUGAUGGGAGGAGCUGCCAUGAAGACCUCUGACAUGCCCUAGAAACAUUUUCCCCAUUGUCUUAGGGAUUAACAUUCUGUGCCUUGUUGCUUAAGUAAAUUUCUGCCUCAUUGUCAGGCUGCAAAUUUUCUA
rnacentral:lncRNA from 1 species